CCCGCGUCAAUCUGUGUCUGUCGUUGCGCAAGGUCCGUCGCUGUAGCUGGUAGGUUGUAGAGCUUAGUGUAGAACUCCUUGAAUCCUCCUACAAUCUUGUCAGGGAUCUGGGUGAGAGGGCCGCCACGCGUUUUGAUCUUGGUGAUUUGGCACCUCCUCUGCUUUUGUUGGAGCAUCCUCGCCAGCAUGCGGCUACACUUGUUGGAGUAUUCAUUGAAAUGUCGGUUGGACUUACAGAGCGAGUGUGCAAGUUUCUGCGAUAAUAAUUGCUGUAGUUCCCUACGGGUCUCCAUUAGUUCUCGUGUGUGAUUUCUGAGAGGGAGGCCUUGUGUUCCGUCUCGAGUUGGGC